rnacentral:lncRNA from 1 species
GCCCGCCGCGGGUGCUGCCUUCGGCAGCAGCGGGUCGGCGGCGCGGCGGGACGGGCUCAGGGGUAACGGGUGUCCGUCAAUGGAUGCCGUUCCCCGCCCGUGCGGCGCGGAAGGCGCGAUGGCUGCCAUAACGCGAGUGCGGCGCGCUCGGUCCCCUCCGUGCUGAGCCGCGGCGGGUCCCUCAGGCGACUGGGGCUCGGGAGCUGCGGCUGGUGCGGCCCAGCUGCUGGCCCAGCGCCGCCAGCACAGGCAUGGCAACGGGAGGAACGUACUGCUCCGAAACGGGGAAAACGGGCGUCAAAAAGAGUUUGUGAAGCCGCAAGUUACCGAGUGACCUUUUGAAAUGAUGCACAUCAAGUACCUUCGAAAGCACUGACAGCUGGCUUGCAGCAGUAAUGGUGUUUGAGACGCUGUGGAUAUAAAAGCAGGCAAUGUUUGGGAAGAGGCAGUAUCUUUUCUCUUUAGGUUAACUAUAACGGAAAAGACUUUAAGGCAGUGGCUAUAAUAGUGCGGAAAGAUAGAUUUAAAGCUCACAAGCCAGUCUGCAGACCUGAAGCGAAAAAAAGAGGGUUCACUUGUGCCCAAGAUCUCCAUUCUUUUCGCUGUGUUGGUGGAGCUGCCUCUCAGCACAAAUCUCAUCCCGUAGUAACAGCAACGUUAAUUUAUCUCCAGAUUUGUCCUUACAAUUGCAGCAAUUCAUUCCCUCUGCCAGCGUCCCCUGUGAGGCUUUACAGAUGUGCUGCUACCAAACCAGACUUGCAAAGUCAACAUUAUAUUGCGCCACCAGGCACUACAGCCAAAAGGGGAGCUCUCUUAGUAUGUUCUGGGAAGUACUAACAUCUUAGUGACAUCAAAGCUAUUCAAGGAGAAGUGCUCCAUGUAAGAUUUAAACAUAUAUAUACGCCAAACAUUUGUAUUCAUACAUCAGAAAAGAGAGAAACUGAAGACUUCAGUGGUGUUUUUGAUGAGGCAAGCAAAUGAACCCCGCACCACAGAAAGUGAUGAGUUUCACAGCAUUCAUACAGAUCUGCUCUUUUUAAUGGU